rnacentral:rRNA from 1 species
AUUGAACGCUGGCGGCAUGCCUUACACAUGCAAGUCGAACGGUAACAGGUCUUUGGACGCGGACGAGUGGCGAACGGGUGAGUAAUGCAUCGGAACGUGCCCAGUCGUGGGGGAUAACUGCUCGAAAGAGCAGCUAAUACCGCAUACGACCUGAGGGUGAAAGCGGGGGACCGUAAGGCCUCGCGCGAUUGGAGCGGCCGAUGUCAGAUUAGCUAGUUGGUGGGGUAAAGGCCUACCAAGGCAACGAUCUGUAGUUGGUCUGAGAGGACGACCGGCCACGCUGGGACUGAGACACGGCCCAGACUCCUACGGGAGGCAGCAGUGGGGAAUUUUGGACAAUGGGCGCAAGCCUGAUCCAGCAAUGCCGCGUGCAGGAAGAAGGCCUUCGGGUUGUAAACUGCUUUUGUCAGGGAAGAAAUCUUCUGGGCUAAUACCCCGGGAGGAUGACGGUACCUGAAGAAUAAGCACCGGCUAACUACGUGCCAGCAGCCGCCGUAAGAC